rnacentral:pre_miRNA from 1 species
UAUAUACUCCCUCCAUCCGAAAAUACUUGUCGGAGAAAUGGAUGUAUUUUAGUUUUAGAUACAUCUCAUUUUAUGCAUUUUUCCGACAAGUAUUUUCGGACGGAGGGAGUAUUAU